AUAAUAUAUAGAUGUAAAAUGCAUUAUAAAUCGGAGAAACACGCAUUUUAAAUAGUUAAUUUUUUUAACUUUAAAUGCGAAUAUGGCGGCAUGUAUCCGUACAUACCCAUUUUAAUCCCGAAAUCCGGGAAAGCUAUUCUAAAUCGCAGUCGCGAGUUGUCACAAAAACACGAAAAAGUGGACAGAAAAAGAAAACAACAUUUUAAUGGAUUUUCUUUUGGAAAACGUUGAUAUUGAGUUAGAGGCAAAUGCUUAAAUGUUGAGGUGUAUAGUUCGAUAUCGGAAAGAAAUCAACAGGCGCAGGACUAGAUAUUGGAGACGCAUGUUCCACAGUAAAAUGUAAUAAGAAACCGGAAAUGUCUCCACAUUAUGACCGACUCGUGGAGCUUUAUUCUAAUAAACUGCACUCAAAUAUCGUCGUUGAAUCAUCAUCAAUUAACGUGGAUGUUGAAUUUGAUUCAUUUUACAUCAUCUGAGCCAGUGCGACCUCCAGACAUCGACUCGAUGGAAGCCGAGUUAAUAUGUGAGCCAGCACUUUCACAGUCAAAAGUAUCAACUCCUCGCUCUCAACGAUCUCUUGGACAAAAAUUUAAAACUCGUACUCGUACGUUAGAAGCAGUCUAAGCGAAUUUGCUAAUAUCCAAUAAAAAAGAGAUUCUUAUUAUGAAAUGCACCAGAGCAUAGAACAAAAAAAAAAUGAUAAUGAAAUAACCCGGUUAAAGCUAGAAAAACAAAAGAUGGCCCAUGCUCAAGAACAAAAAGAACGACUUGCUGUCUUAGAGCUUAAAUUAAAACAUAAUAC
rnacentral:lncRNA from 1 species